UACGUAGGGGGCAAGCGUUGUCCGGAUUUAUUGGGCGUAAAGAGCGUGUAGGCGGCCUGGAAGGUCAGCUGUGAAAUCUCGGGGCUCAACCCCGAGCGGUCGUGAGAAACUGGCGGGCUAGAGUGCGGGAGAGGAGAGUGGAAUUCCUGGUGUAGCGGUGAAAUGCGCAGAUAUCAGGAAGAACACCCGUGGCGAAGGCGGCUCUCUGGAACGCGACUGACGCUGAGACGCGAAAGCGUGGGGAGCAAACAGG
rnacentral:rRNA from 1 species